rnacentral:rRNA from 1 species
UGCAAGUCGAACGAUGAUGCCCAGCUUGCUGGGCGGAUUAGUGGCGAACGGGUGAGUAAUACGUGAGUAACCUGCCCUUGACUCUGGGAUAAGCCUGGGAAACUGGGUCUAAUACUGGAUACUACCUCCUGCCGCAUGGUGGGUGGUGGAAAGGGUUUUACUGGUUUUGGAUGGGCUCACGGCCUAUCAGCUUGUUGGUGGGGUAAUGGCUCACCAAGGCGACGACGGGUAGCCGGCCUGAGAGGGUGACCGGCCACACUGGGACUGAGACACGGCCCAGACUCCUACGGGAGGCAGCAGUGGGGAAUAUUGCACAAUGGGCGGAAGCCUGAUGCAGCGACGCCGCGUGAGGGAUGACGGCCUUCGGGUUGUAAACCUCUUUCAGUAGGGAAGAAGCGAGAGUGACGGUACCUGCAGAAGAAGCGCCGGCUAACUACGUGCCAGCAGCCGCGGUAAUACGUAGGGCGCAAGCGUUGUCCGGAAUUAUUGGGCGUAAAGAGCUCGUAGGCGGUUUGUCGCGUCUGCUGUGAAAGCCCGGGGCUCAACCCCGGGUCUGCAGUGGGUACGGGCAGACUAGAGUGCAGUAGGGGAGACUGGAAUUCCUGGUGUAGCGGUGAAAUGCGCAGAUAUCAGGAGGAACACCGAUGGCGAAGGCAGGUCUCUGGGCUGUUACUGACGCUGAGGAGCGAAAGCAUGGGGAGCGAACAGGAUUAGAUACCCUGGUAGUCCAUGCCGUAAACGUUGGGCACUAGGUGUGGGGGACAUUCCACGUUUUCCGCGCCGUAGCUAACGCAUUAAGUGCCCCGCCUGGGGAGUACGGCCGCAAGGCUAAAACUCAAAGGAAUUGACGGGGGCCCGCACAAGCGGCGGAGCAUGCGGAUUAAUUCGAUGCAACGCGAAGAACCUUACCAAGGCUUGACAUUCACCGGACCGCCCCAGAAAAUGGGGUUUCCCUUCGGGGCUGGUGGACAGGUGGUGCAUGGUUGUCGUCAGCUCGUGUCGUGAGAUGUUUGGGUUAAGUCCCGCAACGAGC